UACGUAGGUUGCGAGCGUUAUUCGGAUUUACUGGGCGUAAAGAGCACCGAGGUGGCUUCUUAAGUUGGAUGUAAAAUCUCCUGGCUUAACUGGGAGGCGCCAUUCAAAACUGAGGAGCUUGAGGUCAGCAGGGGAAGGUGGAAUUCCCGGUGUAGUGGUGGAAUGCGUAGAGAUCGGGAGGAACACCAGUGGCGAAAGCGACCUUCUGGGCUGCACCUGACACUCUAGUGCGAAGGCGUGGGGAGCAAACAGG
rnacentral:rRNA from 1 species